rnacentral:lncRNA from 13 species
AGGAUGUUUGUAAUAUGUAUUAAAAGGUGUUGAUAUUAUUAACUUAUGAAAAUCUUACACCUCCUUUUCCAGGCUUAAAAAUUGGCAAAGGACAUCAGCAGCAAUUUGCAAAAAGGACAAAGUAUGUGCUCAGUAAAAAUGGGAAGGAAAAAAAGUGUAGCUCAUGUCCACCAUCGAUGGGGACCUAAGUUGAUUCUAAUGGCAGUGGCUGCUGCCAUCAUGCCAGCUGCCCCAGUGGGAAGUGACUGGGGCUGCACACUCCAUGGAGCUGGUGGGAACCCUGCCCUCCUAGGUGGGGCUACAGUCGUCCAAACUGCAGUUGUGGAUCUGAGCCUCUCUAUGCUCUUGGGCGAGCCAGGAACAGGUAAGAUCUGCCCUCCCGGCUGCAGCUGCAGCUGCUGGACCCACCACGCAGAUAUGGGCCUUCCACUCCAAGAAGCAGGCGGGAUCCAGGGACAAGCGGAAGUCCUGCCUCUUCCAGGUUGGUGGGAUGGGAGUUCCGGGUGCAGCUUCGGCUGUCCUCCCAGGCGCAAGACCCAGGCAUCUCUGCAGUCUGCACCGUUAGGGGCCCCAAGAAGGACCCCCCCUACUCCCCUCCCUCUCCCUGUCCCUGCAGGUUUGGGGGUGUCUGCUUCCUCUCUAUGCUCCUGGCGUCUGCUCUGAUCUCAGAGUGGGGAUUGGGGCCAAGCCCCAGGGCCAUGAAUGGAACCUUCAGACCACGGAGGGCCUGAAGACUGGGGGUCGGAUUGCCAGUCCCAUAGUCCAGAGUGGGGACUCAUGGUGUCUCUUCCAGGCCUGCCCAUGGCUGUGCGGGGGCCAAUCCACACACACUGCCUGCCCUCUGAGGUCCAUAAAAGCGCUGCGCUGAGCCAGAGGAUGAAGAGGGCAGAGAGAGAUGAUGGGCCAGGGUGACAGGCUGCAGAGAGGAGUACUCAGCUGAGGGCUGCAGAGAUGACUGACUGGCAGAGAGGAGCUACCCUUUCUUCUGAGAGCUUCAGAGAUCCGCAGAGACAUUUGAAUGACUUGGCUGCAGAGAGGAGCCACCCUCUCCACAGCCUCCUCUCUUCUAAGAGCUACCCGCUCCUCUGAGCCCUUCUGACACUAAAUAAAACUCUCC